rnacentral:rRNA from 1 species
UAAUACAGAGGUGGCAAGCGUUGCUCGGUAUCACUGGGCUUAAAGGGCGCGUAGGCGGUGCGGCACGGUCCGCGUGAAAUCCCUCGGCUCAACCGAGGAAUUGCGCGGGCAACGACCGCGCUGGACGGCAUCAGGGGAAGAUGGAACUCCCGGUGGAGCGGUGAAAUGCGUAGAUAUCGGGAGGAACGCCGGUGGCGAAAGCGAUCUUCUGGGGUGCCUGUGACGCUGAGGCGCGAAAGCUAGGGGAGCAAACGGGAUUAGAUACCCCGGUAGUCCUAGCCCUAAACGAUGCGCACUAGGUAGUGCCCGGUUCCGACUGGGCGCUGCCGGAGCAAAAGUCUUAAGUGCGCCGCCUGGGGAGUACGGCCGCAAGGUUA